AACGAACGCUGGCGGCAUGCCUAACACAUGCAAGUCGAACGAGACCUUCGGGUCUAGUGGCGCACGGGUGCGUAACGCGUGGGAACCUGCCCUUAGGUUCGGAAUAACUCCCCGAAAGGGGUGCUAAUACCGGAUAAUGUCUUCGGACCAAAGAUUUAUCGCCUUUGGAUGGGCCCGCGUUGGAUUAGCUAGUUGGUAGGGUAAAAGCCUACCAAGGCGACGAUCCAUAGCUGGUCUGAGAGGAUGAUCAGCCACACUGGGACUGAGACACGGCCCAGUCUCCUACGGGAGGCAGCAGUGGGGAAUAUUGGACAAUGGGCGAAAGCCUGAUCCAGCAAUGCCGCGUGAGUGAUGAAGGCCUUAGGGUUGUAAAGCUCUUUUACCCGGGAUGAUAAUGACAGUACCGGGAGAAUAAGCACCGGCUAACUCCGUG
rnacentral:rRNA from 1 species